UUCCCUGUGGCUCAGUUGGUAGAGCAUGGUGUUUGCAACGCCAGCAUGGUGUGUGCAACGCCAGGGUUGUGGGUUCAAUUCCCAUGCGGGGGCA
rfam:Salmo salar isolate Sally breed double haploid chromosome ssa14, whole genome shotgun sequence.